UACGUAGGGUGCGAGCGUUGUCCGGAAUUAUUGGGCGUAAAGAGCUCGUAGGCGGUCUGUCGCGUCGGUCGUGAAAACUUGGGGCUUAACCCUGAGCUUGCGGUCGAUACGGGCAUGACUGGAGUUCGGUAGGGGGGGACUGGAAUUCCUGGUGUAGCGGUGAAAUGCGCAGAUAUCAGGAGGAACACCGGUGGCGAAGGCGGGACUCUGGGCCGAUACUGACGCUGAGGAGCGAAAGCGUGGGGAGCAAACAGG
rnacentral:rRNA from 1 species